rnacentral:rRNA from 1 species
UACGUAGGUGGCAAGCGUUGUCCGGAUUUAUUGGGUUUAAAGGGUGCGUAGGCGGCUUUGUAAGUCAGUGGUGAAAUAUGGCAGCUCAACUGUCAAGGUGCCAUUGAUACUGCAGAGCUUGAGUACAGAUGAGGUAGGCGGAAUUGACGGUGUAGCGGUGAAAAUGCUUAGAUAUCGUCAAGAACACCUAUAGCGAAGGCAGCUUACUGGGCUGUAACUGACGCUGAUGCACGAAAGUGUGGGGAUCAAACAGG